GUUCUGUCUGGUCCCGGUGGAAGUUCCCGGAGAAGCAGAGGGGAGACUGACAGUGAAGCGGUGUUUAGUUUAUGAUGGCGGAUGGAGGACCCGGACCCCUUUUGUUUUCCACCUGAAUCUAGACAGACUUGACGCUGUUUUCUGCGCUAAUCCGUGAUACUUUGCGGGGAGGAAGCCAGAGCACCUGGAGAGAAGCCACCCAGUCCCAGAGAGAACAUGAACUCCACACAGAAAGAACCAGCUGACCAGCAGCUCAGCAGUCUGCAGAGGAGCUCUGAUGUCUGUCUGUCCUGCUGUCUCUCUGCUCCUCUUUCAUACCAGUCAGUCGAGGCAGAGGGCUGGCCUCCCUGAGCCUGGUUCUGCUGGAGGUGUUUUCUUUCCUCCUUGUUAACCGGGUGUAGCGUACUGAGGAGCAGAACAUUCCAGAGCACCACACAAAUAUCAAUAAGACAACAUUUCAGAAGACAGCUAACCCAGAAUUCACCUCCAAAUGGAACAUCUGCUGAUGGGAUGUUUACUACUGAAGGACCACUCACAGCUCUCUUGGAGACAACAAGAUGCCUCCUACCUCCACUAGAAUCUGAUAAAAGUCAUAAAGUGUCAACUGUGAGGAAAACCUCACCUCUGCAGGAUUGACAUUCUGACCUUCUGAUCUCCUAACAGAACACACAGAACUUGGUAUGCAGGAAUGGAUUGAAGAGUUUAAAUCAGAACAUUAAAGAAAUGCAGCAUCACUGGAGUGAUGAUCUGGACUCAGUCUCUGAUACCAGGUUGAUCAGGACCAGUAUGGAAGAAGAACACAUGGAAUCUGAAGUGUUUGUGGAGAAGAACAAACAAGACACCAACACCCCCCCCUCUCUGUCACAGACCACAGUCAUAAAAGACACAGAGACUUUUUACUCUAACUAUAUGUACUCCCUAUGUCUUCUUUUUCCUAUUAUUACUGAAUGUAUAUGCUUGUGCUUUAGCUAUGUUAUAAGUUUACUUCAGUGUAUCCUAAAGUCUACAAUUUGUAAGUUUAUUCUUAUGUUUACACAUUUUUAUUAUUAUGUCAGGAACUAUAUGAGAUACACAUAUUGGGUUUGGUGUCACUUUAAUCAUUUAUUCUGUGUUAUUUCAGAUCUGUGAUCAUCAUAGAUGUUGAACAAUUGGAUUUGUACAUUUAAGAAAUGAACUAAGAGUAAGUUCUAAAGGUACUUGGCCUCUGACCUCUCCUGGACAGUGAAGUUUAACAUCACCCCUUGGGAGGAACACAUCCAUGAUUGGUUAGAUGCUGAUUUGAAUUUCGCUCCAAAACUUUCUAUAAAGAGGAAAAUCACUGGAAUGCAACUGAACUUGGUUUUUACAAAAUGUAAUGGGCUUUUAGAAGGACGGGCUUGGCUUUAUGAAGAACACUGGGCUAUUAGAAAAACUUAACCUGAGCUUGCAAGAAGGACUCUUAGAAGAAUACAACUGGACUUAAAAAUUACUUAAGAACUAAAAAGAGCGAAUAUUUUCUUGAUAACUAUGAACUUUGACUUUUAGUGUUUUUACUUAGACACACUUUUGCAAUGCAAACCUGCCAAAGUUCCUCCUUGUCUUUGCGUUCCUGAACCAACUCAUCCAGCAGAUCAUCACAGCUCCACAUCCUGCAGCGGCCUCCCGCUCACUAGUACAAAGGCUACGCAAGUAUCUCUUUCCUUCAGAACAUCUGGAUUAUUUUUUUAUCUUCUCUAAUUCAAAUUCCACUGAAGCUGUUGGUUUUUAAGUUUCAAUAAAUAACAUGAUGGAAUGCCAUGAUAUGAACUGCUUCCAAGAAUGUGCUAUGACGUUUUUGUCACAUUUUGGACGACAUCCUAAACUAUGGCGUUUUUGUCAUAUUUUGGACGACAUACUAAACUAUGAGGAUUUAUAGUACAUAAGAACUUUGAGUUGCAGCCAUGUGAUUGUGUUAAUAAGCAAUUGAACAGGUGUACCUAAUAAAGUGGCUGGUGAGUGUAUACAUA